rnacentral:lncRNA from 1 species
AACCCAUGUAUAUUUCUGAAGGGGUACUAGGGAAGCUUUAUCGUGGUAUCGUCAAGGCUUUUCCUCAUAAGAACACAGAUGACCUUUGCACUGUUACAGCUAUCCAGGAUGCUUAUGAUCAUGAUCUUUUGGUAGAAGGUUACGAGGCCUACAUCGAAACUGCUAAAAGUCAGAAAGGAAUGUAUUUGGAUAAAAUGAGCAGCUUACUCAACUACUAUGAAGCAGAGAAAGAGGUUGAGAUACUGACAGGCAAUUUGCGCCAGAAGUCUGUGUAUCUGCAGCGGGACAACAGGAGGUACUUUGAACUAAAAGAUCGAAUCUUGGUUUCUGCUAAAAGCUUACACAAGGAGGUCAAAGGGUGGUUCAAUGGUUGCUGCAAGGAGGAGGAGCAUCAGA